GACGAACGCUGGCGGCGCGCUUAACACAUGCAAGUCGAACGGGGUCCUUCGGGGCCCAGUGGCGAACGGGUGCGUAACACGUGAGCAACCUGCCUUACGGUGGGGGAUAACCCGGGGAAACCCGGGCUAAUACCGCAUACGAUCCUUUGGCCGAGUGGCUGGGGGAGGAAAGCUGCUGAAAGGCAGUGCCGAAAGAGGGGCUCGCGGCGUAUCAGGUAGCUGGUGGGGUAACGGCCCACCAGGCCGACGACGCGUAGCCGAUCUGAGAGGAUGAUCGGCCACAUUGGGACUGAGAUACGGCCCAGACUCCUACGGGAGGCAGCAGUGGGGAAUCUUGCGCAAUGGGCGAAAGCCUGACGCAGCGACGCCGCGUGCGGGAGGAAGCUCUUCGGGGUGUAAACCGCUGUCAGGGGGGAAGAACGGCCAGGGGAGGCAAUGCCCGUGGUUUGACGGUACCCCCAGAGGAAGCACCGGCUAACUCUGUGC
rnacentral:rRNA from 1 species